CACGGUGCUAGGUCAAGACCUGCGCGAGUAUCCUUUCGCAUGCAAGCGGGUCGUCCACGUGUCACUUCGUGCAUGGACUGACACCACACACUGUGCGCACACUGUCCACACAGCAGGCCUACACGAACAGGCCCUGUGCGCCCAGUAGGCCUGCGCACGUGGCACCCAGUAUGCCUAGGUCCUACCGUGCAGUAGUAGGCUUGUGCUCUUGCAUGCUAGCUUUCAGCGCGUUGGCCGAGCACUCCCAUCUCGAGCAGUGCACCGCCGCUGCCUUUGGCAGCAUGCCACUGCUGCCAGUGGAGGAAAUUUUUCUCCCUCAUUUUUCGUUCUAAGAAUUUUUUUUCCUCUCUCUCCAUCGGAUUUUGCCACUUUGCACAAAUCCAAUGGUUCUAAAAUUUUAUAAAUUGCCCUUCCCUUCCC
rnacentral:lncRNA from 1 species